rnacentral:lncRNA from 1 species
ACUUAAAGCCUGCGUGCUUGGAGCUCUGGGUACAGGGAGCUUGCUUCAUGAGCCACCAUGUGGUGACAAGGCUCCAUGUUACUGUUCUUCCUUUACAGAGUAUCUCAAAUCUUUUUGGCCCUGCUCCUGGAAGGUGCUGAGCAUCAUUGCUCCAUAAAGAGGGCCGGCCUUUGUGAAGAACUGUGAGAUCUCUUGCCUGGAUAAGGAGACCUUUUCUAAACCAAUCUCCUUCCACUGACAUACCCAGGUUCUGGCAUCAGCUGUGAUUAUUUUGAAAGACGGUGCCUGGGAAAUACUCUUCCAACUGUGGUGUGAAGUGGGAAGGAGUGAAGAGGCGAAAGAGCUUGCUGCUGCUGGAUGGGGAGUGGAGGUGUUUGGAUCUCUGCAGCUCCUGGUCAUUACAACAACAGUGUCAGCAAGUGGUCAGGACUGGACUCGAGAACUGUCACAUGAAGAGUUACCAUCCUGCUCCUCCUCCUCCAAGGGUCUCGCCUAGUCAGCUAGAGAGGCGAGUAAGGCUUGAUUGCCUGCUUCCACCAAAGUGCUUAACGGGAUGAGAGGAAGCGAGAUACAAAAUGUUCUUACUACUAAGGAAUGAAGG